GUGGAUUAGAUACCCUGGUAGUCCACGCCGUAAACGAUGUCGAUUUGGAGGUUGUGCCCUUGAGGCGUGGCUUCCGGAGCUAACGCGUUAAAUCGACCGCCUGGGGAGUACGGCCGCAAGGUUAAAACUCAAAUGAAUUGACGGGGGCCCGCACAAGCGGUGGAGCAUGUGGUUUAAUUCGAUGCAACGCGAAGAACCUUACCUGGUCUUGACAUCCACGGAAUUUGGCAGAGAUGCCUUAGUGCCUUCGGGAACCGUGAGACAGGUGCUGCAUGGCCGUCGUCAACU
rnacentral:rRNA from 1 species